rfam:Salmo salar isolate Sally breed double haploid chromosome ssa09, whole genome shotgun sequence.
AACUUUCAAGAAUGUAAGUCGCUCUGGAUAAGAGCGUCUGCUAAAUGACGUAAA